GCGGUGAAUACGUUCCCGGGCUUUGUACACACCGCCCGUCCCACCAUGGGAGUGGGUUGCACCAGAAGUAGAUAGCUUCACCUUCGGGAGGGAGUUUACCACGGUGUGAUUCAUGAAUGGGGUGCAGUCGUAACACGUUAACCCUAGGGGAACCUGGGGUUGGAGAACCUACUUACCUUAA
rnacentral:rRNA from 1 species